UGCCUUUGUGUUGCCUGUUCAUUAUGUUUUUAAAUGAAUUUGGUGUCAAAAAAGGCAUACAUUAUCACUUGCAGUGACUGAAAAUGGCUUUCACAGUCAUGCUAUUGAUUAAAGUUCAUGGCAAGAACAAAU